GGGGGCGUUCGGGGGGACGGCCUCGCCGUUCACCGCGGUGCCGUUGCGGCUGUCGAGGUCGCGGACGUGCCAACGCCCCGCCCCCUC
rnacentral:tRNA from 1 species